AUUGAACGCUGGCGGCAGGCCUAACACAUGCAAGUCGAGCGGAUGAAGGGAGCUUGCUCCUGGAUUCAGCGGCGGACGGGUGAGUAAUGCCUGGGAAUCUGCCUGGUAGUGGGGGAUAACGUCCGGAAACGGGCGCUAAUACCGCAUACGUCCUGAGGGAGAAAGUGGGGGAUCUUCGGACCUCACGCUAUCAGAUGAGCCUAGGUCGGAUUAGCUAGUUGGUGGGGUAAAGGCCUACCAAGGCGACGAUCCGUAACUGGUCUGAGAGGAUGAUCAGUCACACUGGAACUGAGACACGGUCCAGACUCCUACGGGAGGCAGCAGUGGGGAAUAUUGGACAAUGGGCGGAAGCCUGAUCCAGCCAUGCCGCGUGUGUGAAGAAGGUCUUCGGAUUGUAAAGCACUUUAAGUUGGGAGGAAGGGCAGUAAGUUAAUACCUUGCUGUUUUGACGUUACCAACAGAAUAAGCACCGGCUAACUUCGUG
rnacentral:rRNA from 1 species